AAUCUUAGUCAAAUAUUAGUCAAAUCUUGGCCAAAUCCUUGUCAAAUCCUAAUGAAAUCCUAUAUAAGCCUCAACCAAACCUUAGACAAAUCCUAGUCAAAUCCUAGUCAAAUCCUCAUUGAAUCCUAAUCAAACCUUAAACAAAUCCUAAUCAAAUUAUAAAAAAUCUUAAAUAAAUCCUAAUCAAAUCCUAAGAAAAUCCUAAUCAAAUCCUAAAUGAAUCCUAAUCAAAUCUUAAAUAAAUCCUAAUCAAAUCCUAGACAAAUCCUAAUCAAAUCCUAAUCAAAUCUUUAUCAAAUCUUAAAUAAAUCCUAAUCAAAUCCUAGACAAAUCCUAAUCAAAUCCUAAUCAAAUCUUUAACAAAUUCUAACCAAAUCCUAAUCAAAUCCUAAAUAAAUCCUAAUCAAAUCCUAG
rnacentral:lncRNA from 1 species